UACAGAGGGUGCGAGCGUUGUUCGGAAUUAUUGGGCGUAAAGGGCGCGUAGGCGGUGCGGUAAGUCACCUGUGAAAUCUCCUGGCUCAACUGGGAGCUUGCAGGCGAAACUGCCGUGCUGGAGUGUGGGAGAGGUGAGUGGAAUUCCCGGUGUAGCGGUGAAAUGCGUAGAUAUCAGGAGGAACACCGGUGGCGAAGGCGGGUCUCUGGGCCAUUACUGACGCUGAGGAGCGAAAGCGUGGGGAGCGAACAGG
rnacentral:rRNA from 1 species